GCGUCUUCGGGGACUGAACACAGCACUCCAAUCCUCCCAGUCAAUGUCCGGGCGCCCCGCCCGCUUUCUCCUCCAGGAAGCCCCCGGGGCCCCCCCGCCGCCUACCUCGGAGAAGCCUCCCGGACCAACCAUCCCCGCCAAUUCAUUUAAGAAGCCCCGCCCCCCAAGGCAACCUUCCAGCCACUGGGCCUUUGACCUGCCCUUCCCACAGCCGGGGCAAAGGAAAAGUGGCCAUUCCUGCCCGGCCCCAUAUUGUGGAUUUAGGCAAAUUCCCAGCAGAGGACUCGGUGGACCCAAGUAUCAGAUAGGUGCCGCUAUUACUCCCUCGGACCGGGAAGGACACAGUUUGUGAGCAGCAGGUCAGCGUUCCACCCUAUGCAGUCCUGCCCGAUUUUCGAGAUCUACAGCCCGACACUCAGCGAUGUGUGCGGGAACCGUGACUGAACCAGGCCUGCGCCAUUAGCCUGCAUCCGGCCUGCCACCCUGGGAGCCCGGAGCACAGAGGAUGUGAACGCGCCCUCCCGCCUGGAUGCCACCAGAGCCACCGUUAGAGAAACUGAAAGCCACCAGUGGGGCGCGGCGGGGCGGGCCCGGGGGCGGGGCGGGCCCGGAGGAAGUGCGGCUAAGGGACGGCAUUCUGGGGCCGGAAGUGGGGCGCACGCUGCUGUCUGGGAGUGAUGGCGGCGGCGCGGGGUGGCAAGCGGCGCCUGGCAGAACUGACAGUGGACGAGUUCCUGGCUUCGGGCUUUGAUUCUGAGUCUGAAUCGGAGUCCGAAGCAGCCCCAGAAGCAGAGACGCGGGCGGUGUUUGGAGCCGACCGGAGACUGGAUGGGCUAGGCGGGAGCCCCUC